AUGGCUGCCAUCGCCGCCUCUCCGGCGGCUUCGACUCCGUGUCCGGCCGGCUUGGACACGAAGUGCUUCUCCCUGUUGGAAGGCGUGGUGUGGUGUCCCAGACGCUGCGGGAGCUCCUCCCGUUGGAGACGCCUGCGAUCCAUACACACAAUGGAGCCAGCGGACCAAGUGGAGAUUUGGGAGGCCAUCUUGGCGGAUCCGCUUGAUUGGCUUCCAUCUUCUGUUACUAUUCCUCGUCCAAGCCAGGUGGAAGAAUACUUCAGUUAUGUGUAUGGCGAUGAUGACAUGGAAAUCAACAAAUUUGCACAAGAGCCCGAAGAUGGGCAGUGCCACCAGCAAUAUUUGGGAGAAUUCAUAUUAAACAAAAAUGGGAGGCGUGGCCCACAAGGUCCUCGCAAGAGGAGGAUAUUUCCUUCGGAAAGUGGAGGCAAGAAAUUGCACAGUCGAAAAAACAAUUAA
rnacentral:rRNA from 1 species